CGGCACAGUCUGAGUGAGUACUCUGGCAGCAUGGGGACCAGCCUGCCACAGUCGCUGAUAUAAGGGCUGCAUCUGAGUUCCAGGGAACUGGGAGAUGGGGAUGGCAGUCAGUCCAUCUGAUACUUGAGGUCGUCAACAGUGGCAUCUGCCAAGACAUCCAUCUUCCCGGCUGUCUCUUGGUCAUUGGUUCACACAGGUGUUCCUGUCCUGUCAGCCCAGGGGUUCUCCCUGCUUCCUCUCCACCCUGCCGGUGUGCUCAGAACUUAUUCUUCAGGCCCAGGAAGAGACUCACAACCACCUCUGUUUGUUGCUUCUCUUGCUUCCCUCACUGUGGCAAAGCACAAAAGAGCCAAGCUGAUGAGUUGCAGAGUUGUGGCAAGGGUGGAAUUUGGUGAAUAUUUCUAUAUACUUUCUUGUGAUAUUUUUACUCAUAUUUUAUUUAUAUGUGGAAAUGUAGAAGAGAGGUCUGGAAAGGUACAUGUUGAACAGUUAACUGUGGCUGCCUCUGGGGAAGGCAUGAGAAGUGAGGAGCUACAAUCUUGCUGUGUGCCUGGAAGGAGACAGAACCUGACAUUUGGAAACCCCAUUAAUGACUGCACACGUUCCACGCUCUAAGUUCUGUAGAAGUGACACACACAGGGAUAUGCCUCUUUCCCCUCCUGGCUUGCUGAUUCUUUACAAGGAGGCUGGGUGUUGCCUCUCUUUCAUCUCCUCCUGACUGGAGAUAUGGUUAAUAAGUGAUGGAUUCAUCAAAUGAGUUUCUGACCUACGUUUAUGUUCAGUUGGGAUCUUCAGUGGACCCCCAAACCCUACUUUAUCUCUAUUGUUUCAGACUCAUCCUGCGUUGAAUUUUGGUUUUGUCACCAAAGCUCUUAAGGAGGUGUAAACUGAUACAUUUUCUCCUUCACCGUGGUUUUGGUUCAAGUCUAACUGGGGAGACCUCAAAUGGAGGAAGGGGGAAGCGAAGGGUCAGGAUACAGUAGAACACGCAGUCCCAGGACAAGACGCCUGGCAAGAUCAGUGGAAGGGGAAGCAGAUCCGUG
rnacentral:lncRNA from 1 species